UACGUAGGGACCGAGCGUUGUCCGGAUUCAUUGGGCGUAAAGAGCUCGUAGGCGGCUGCUCAAGUCGAAUGUGAAAACUCGAGGCUCAACCUCGAGCCUGCAUUCGAUACUGGGCGGCUAGAGUCUGGUAGGGGGAUCUGGAAUUCCUGGUGUAGCGGUGGAAUGCGCAGAUAUCAGGAGGAACACCGGUGGCGAAGGCGGGAUCCUGGGCCAGUACUGACGCUGACGGAGCGAAAGCGUGGGGAGCAAACAGG
rnacentral:rRNA from 1 species